rnacentral:rRNA from 1 species
GAUGAACGCUAGCGGCAGGCUUAAUACAUGCAAGUCGAGGGGCAGCAUGAUUGUAGCAAUACAAUUGAUGGCGACCGGCAAACGGGUGCGGAACACGUACACAACCUUCCAAUAAGUGGGGAAUAGCCCAGAGAAAUUUGGAUUAAUACCCCGUAACAUAACGAUGUGGCAUCACAUUGUUAUUAUAGAUUUUUCGCUUAUUGAUGGGUGUGCGGCUGAUUAGAUAGUUGGCGGGGUAACGGCCCACCAAGUCUACGAUCAGUAGCUGAUGUGAGAGCAGGAUCAGCCACACGGGCACUGAGACACGGGCCCGACUCCUACGGGAGGCAGCAGUAAGGAAUAUUGGACAAUGGACGCAAGUCUGAUCCAGCCAUGCCGCGUGAAGGAUUAAGGUCCUCUGGAUUGUAAACUUCUUUUAUAAGGGACGAAAAAAGGCUUUUCUAAGUCGUCUGACGGUACCUUAUGAAUAAGCACCGGCUAACUCCGUGCCAGCAGCCGCCGUAACAC